AGUGGCUCUGAGACAAGGGGGCUGUCCCCAUGGCACAGGGUCCAGCUGUCGGCCGUGAUACCCGAUGGGUCGAUGAUGGUCCCUGUGUUUUGGGGCGAGUACUCCAAGGGUGUUUCCCCCUU
rnacentral:precursor_RNA from 8 species